CCUACGGGUGGCAGCAGUGGGGAAUAUUGCGCAAUGGGCGAAAGCCUGACGCAGCGACGCCGCGUGAGGGAUGAAGGUCUUCGGAUCGUAAACCUCUGUCAGCAGGGAAGAACGGUCACUGUGCUAAUCAGCAGUGAAUUGACGGUACCUGCAAAGGAAGCACCGGCUAAAUCCGUGCCAGCAGCCGCGGUAAUAAGGAGGGUGCGAGCGUUAAUCGGAAUUACUGGGCGUAAAGCGCUCGUAGGCGGUAGGUCAAGUCAAGGGUGAAAUCCCCGGGCUCAACGUGGGAACUGCCUUUGAAACUGGCAAACUGGAGUGUGUGAGAGGAUAGUGGAAGUCCAGGUGUAGGAGUGAAAUGCGUAGAUAUCUGGAGGAACAUCAGUGGCGAAGGCGACUAUCUGGCACAUAACUGACGCUGAGGAGCGAAAGCGUGGGUAGCAAACAGGAUUAGAUACCCGAGUAGUC
rnacentral:rRNA from 1 species